UUCCUUAGAAUAGUCUGCUCCUCUCAUUUUCUCAAACAUCAUGGCCCCCCUAAGGCCCAAGGCCACAGCACAGAAUUAAUUUUAGUCCUAAAGAAGAGUAGAUAAUGAUCUGGCAUUUCUGAUCUCCAUCCAUCCAUCCAUCCAUCCAUCCAUCCUAACAUCAAUCAUUUAUCAGCAUGCACUGAGCACUGACUUUUUCAUAGGCAAUGAACUAGGAGGGGAAAUAGGAUCUGUGAGAUGCAGUUUCCUGCUGAGGAAUCUCUCUUCUCUUCCUGAGCCCCACCCCUCUGUAAGUAGUCAGAGACUUAAAGAAGACUUAAGAAGAUCCACGAAGAUUAAGGCAGAGCCUCAAGAAAGUCACAAUCUAAAGGAAGAAUGGCGUGAC
rnacentral:lncRNA from 1 species